rnacentral:lncRNA from 1 species
CAACGGAGCUACCCAGGCGCCCCUAUUCUCAUUUUAAUGAUAAAGAUACUGAGGCUGAGAGACCUUAGUGACUUGUUUAAUCUCUUCUGGCUGUGUGGUUAGUACACCAGGAGUAAAACUCAAGCCUGUGUGAGCCUGAGGUUUUGAGCUCUUCAUCAUCACAAUGUACAGAGACCACUGAUUAGGCGAAGUGCCUGGAGGCUGGUAUAUAGCUUCCUGUGGAUAGCUACCAAGUUUGGAAAUCCCCAAGGGCGCUUUGAUGAAUGACUUCAGAUUCUGGGAUUUUGGGAAAUAGUCAUUGCCCACAGUCCCACUGGGAAUAGAAUGCUCGGUGUCUGGGGUUGCCCGUUGUUGAGCAAAUGGUGGAUGAGUUUGGAUGAUGAAACUUCAGACCCAGGAAGAGAAACAAGCUCUCGAUAGGACAGUAAAACCCAUCAGCCAAAGGCUGUUGUCAAAGUAGUUCCCUUAGAGAAAACCAUCCAAGUAACCCCAUCAAAGAUACUGAUUGUUAAUAUGUUCCUAUUUUGCAGAAGAACGGGGCAUUCUUUCUUCCUAUUUUGACCUGUCAAAUGUUUCAUAUAAGCGUUGCAUCCUGGGGGUUAUUAAUGUUUUACAUUAAAUAAUCAAAACAUUGUUCUCUUGUAUUGCAUCAGAUGUGGAAAGCUUCAAUGAGUGAACAGAUUUUCAAAGCUAGAAAUCUGAUUGUCCCUUGUGCCUCUCCUCAUCUAUUUUUCUCUCAAGAUGCAAUUGAAGGUAUGAAGUUUUUUGAGUUUUAAAAUAUUAUUCAAAUAAUGCUUCAUUUAUACUUUUUUAAAAAAAGUCAUGGAGCUCUGGAUGUUCUAGAGCUGUCAGAUAACUGCAUGUCUUUGAUUAUGUGAUGUGAUAAUAUUUUUCUCAGGCUGAGCAAUGUUCAUUCCAUUGCAACAAUAAGUGUAAAAAUGUUCCCCGUGGACCUCCACAAUUCUUUGAAGGAUAAUACAUUUGAAAAUCCUUACUGAUGAUACCCUGCUUUUCUUUUUGUACUCAUGUGGACUAUAAAAUGAGACUUUCUAGUUAAAUAUGUUUCAAAUUACUUAAAAUAAUUUUAAACUGGAGCUAAAGUAAACAGAAUAGCACUGUUAAAGUCACCAGUAUUAUAAUUUCACUUAAGUCAAUCACUGAAGUUACAACUGUGAGGAUAUUUAUACUUCGUAUUUUUCUAAUCAUAAGAUCUGAGCUAUGCUACCUGCACACACUUUAAAAUUAGAAACAUAUACAAUAUAGCUAUUGUGUGUGUGUAUUGUGAACACAUGUCUGAAAAAUGGAUAUUUCUGUAAGCUGUGUGUCUCCUUUUCUUGGCUAUUAAUCUUUUUGAUUUAAGUUUAUUUCCAUUUAAAGGUUUGCUGUAUUACUUUGAUCAGUUACAUUUUGCUGAAAUACUGAAACUUUCGUAAUGGUUCAUUCAACAUAACAUAAUAUUUAAAGUUGGCUUUGUCUAUGAAAACUGGCAUGUAUGAUGACAAUAUCUAUAAUCAUGUUAAAAUAGAAGUCAGCUUUUAAUACAGAGAUCGUGUAGACAUGGACUUUAUAUGUGGAAAAAAUAAAUAUUUUUUGCACAUUUUACCUCUCCCUAGA